GAUGAACGCUGACAGAAUGCUUAACACAUCAGCAAUUGAUUUCUGGCGGACGGGUGAGUAACGCGUAAAGAACUUGCCUCACAGGUAAGGACAACAUUUGGAAACGAAUGCUAAUACCUAAUACUGUGAGAGAGCUUUGGGUCCCAUUAUCUAGUUGCAGAGGUAACGGCUCACCAAGGCGAUGAUGGGUAGCAGGCCUGAGAGGGUGAUCGGCCACAAGGGGACUGAGACACGGUCCUUACUACUACGUGAGGAAGAAGUGGGGAAUAUUGGACAAUGGACCAAAGUAUGAUCAAGCAAUUCUGUGUGCACGAUGAAGUUUUAGAAAAGUAAAGUGAUUUCAGUUAGGAAGCGGUACCAACAGAAGAAGUGACGGCUAAAUACGUGCCAGCAGCCGCGGUAAUAC
rnacentral:rRNA from 1 species